UGACCGCAACGAGUGGCUCGGACGGCAGGCGCGGGUGCUCGGUCGCGGGACCGAGUGGGGUCGGGCCGGGCUCCACGCUGAGCGCGGCCCGGAGCAGCGCGAGUCGCAGCCCGAGUCCGAGGCGGAGUCCCUACCCCUUGUACACGCUGUACGCGCAGCGGGACUACAGCCGGUCGGAGAGCUACGGGCGGUCGGGCCGGAGCCGCGGACACAGCCCCGCGUACGCGUGACCACCGACCUCGCACGAUGGAGUCUAACAGGACAGACUGACCGAUCGGUGUACGGAGCUGUCCCGCGCCACUCGUAGCGUUACGUCAAUGAUCUCACCGUCGCGUGUUGGUGCGUGAGCGGCACCAUCAACACCAGCGACGACAACAACGAAUACUCGAUAUCGUCGUAGGUUAACGAACAAUCGACGGAUCAGUGCCUACAAGCUAACGGAGGAGUUUUAGCUAACUUUUCUGGAACUUUGGGUGUACAGUGGAGAGUGUAUUCAGUGGACAUAUGUUGGGGUAACUGUUUGUUGUAAGCUUUUAUUUAACUGAGUUAAAACCACUUACAUAUUGGUGUAGGUCUAAUGACAGUGCAUCCGACGGCCAAACAUACACGUGAUAUUUGAUGUGUAUGAACUUGUGUUAUAUAGGGUGUUUUUAAAUUAAUUCAUUUACAGUUUGAGUCAUUUGA